rnacentral:tRNA from 1 species
UCUCUAAUAGCUUAAUGGUAAAGCCUUUGACUGUUAAUCAAAUAAUUAUAGGUUCAACUCCUAUUUAGAGAG